CCUACGGGGGGCAGCAGUCGAGAAUCAUUCACAAUGGGGGAAACCCUGAUGGUGUGACGCCGCGUGGGGGAAUGAAGGUCUUCGGAUUGUAAACCCCUGUCAUGUGGGAGCAAAUUAAAAAGAUAGUACCACAAGAGGAAGAGACGGCUAACUCUGUGCCAGCAGCCGCGGUAAUACAGAGGUCUCAAGCGUUGUUCGGAAUCACUGGGCGUAAAGCGUGCGUAGGCUGUUUCGUAAGUCGUGUGUGAAAGGCGCGGGCUCAACCCGCGGACGGCACAUGAUACUGCGAGACUAGAGUAAUGGAGGGGGAACCGGAAUUCUCGGUGUAGCAGUGAAAUGCGUAGAUAUCGAGAGGAACACUCGUGGCGAAGGCGGGUUCCUAGACAUUAACUGACGCUGAGGCACGAAGGCCAGGGGAGCGAAAGGGAUUAGAUACCCUAGUAGUC
rnacentral:rRNA from 1 species